rnacentral:snoRNA from 1 species
GAUGCAGGUGAUGAUUUUAUGCGACCAAAGCCUGAGAGUUUGUGAUUAUAAUCUUAAGUGACUGAUGCACC